CAGCCGCCGCGGGAAAACGGAGGGGGCUAGCGUUGUUCGGAAUUACUGGGCGUAAAGCGCACGUAGGCGGCUUGGUAAGUUAGAGGUGAAAGCCUGGAGCUCAACUCCAGAAUUGCCUUUAAGACUGCCGAGCUAGCAGGUGAGAGAGGUAAGUGGAAUUCCGAGUGUAGAGGUGAAAUUCGUAGAUAUUCGGAAGAACACCAGUGGCGAAGGCGGCUUACUGGCUCAUACUGGACGCUGAGGUGCGAAAGCGUGGGGAGCAAACAGGAUUAGAUACCCCAGUAGUCCCUGUCUCUUAUAC
rnacentral:rRNA from 1 species